GCAUGUACAAAACAUUUUCAUUCGCAGCUAGCUAGCUAGCUCUUGCUUGGGUCUGAGCUGUUUGAAACCGAGUUCCUUCGCAGCCAGGUUGUGUCCAUCUCUGCUCGAGGGGUACUUCCACACUCUGUAAUCCCAGCUCAAAGCCAGUCAAGGCCUUCUCGUUAAUGAACUGGAGAUGAUCUCCCAGGGGCAUGUCUCCGAGUUUUCAACACACAUUGGCUAACAGCAUUUGAAUGCAACUACGUAACAAUACUGAACACCAUGCAUGCACAUAGUAUAUAUGCAUUCAUAAUAAUAAUUAUAUACAUGACAAAAUUUAAUUGUUUAUCCCACUCAUAAUUAAUUACUACUGUUUAAUUACGUUAAAUUAUUACAUGAAAAGUGGUAAAGAUCA